rnacentral:rRNA from 1 species
UGAAGAGGUUUGGAAAGACCCACCACAGAAGGUAAUAGUCCUGUAUGUUAAACGAGAAGACUUCAGAUAUGAUCCAGAGUACCACGGGACACGUGAAACCCUGUGGGAAGCAGGAGGGACCACCCUCAAAGGCUAAAUACUACCUAGUGACCGAUAGCGUAUAGUACCGUGAGGGAAAGGGGAAAAGAACCCCGGGAGGGGAGUGAAAUAGAACCUGAAACCCUGCACUUACAAGCUGUGGAAGCACAUUUCUUGUGUGACCGCGUACUUUUUGUAGAACGGGCCAACGAGUUACGUUAAGUAGCAAGGUUAAGCACUUAAG